rnacentral:rRNA from 1 species
UACGUAGGGUGCGAGCGUUAAUCGGAAUUACUGGGCGUAAAGCGUGCGCAGGCGGUUCGUUAUGUCCGAUGUGAAAGCCCCGAGCUCAACUUGGGAAUGGCAUUGGAAACUGGCGGGCUGGAGUGUGGCAGAGGGGGGUGGAAUUCCACGUGUAGCAGUGAGAUGCGUAGAGAUGUGGAGGAACACCGAUGGCGAAGGCAGCCCCCUGGGCCAACACUGACGCUCAGGCACGAAAGCGUGGGGAGCAAACAGG